UACGUAGGGAGCAAGCGUCGUCUGGAUUUACUGGGUGUAAAGGGUGCGUAGGCGGCUUUGCAAGUCAGAAGUGAAAUCCAUGGGCUUAACCCAUGAACUGCUUUUGAAACUGCAAGGCUUGAGUGAAGUAGAGGCAGGCGGAAUUCCCGGUGUAGCGGUGAAAUGCGUAGAGAUCGGGAGGAACACCAGUGGCGAAGGCGGCCUGCUGGGCUUUAACUGACGCUGAGGCACGAAAGCAUGGGUAGCAAACAGG
rnacentral:rRNA from 1 species